AUUGAACGCUGGCGGCAGGCCUAACACAUGCAAGUCGAGCGGUAACAGAACUAGCUUGCUAGUUGCUGACGAGCGGCGGACGGGUGCGUAACACGUAGGAAUCUGCCCGGUAGUGGGGAUAGCCCGGAGAAAUCCGGAUUAAUACCGCAUACGUCCUACUCUUUUUCGGAAGAGGGGGAAAGCAGGGGAAUCUUCGGAUCCUUGCGCUAUCGGAUGAGCCUGCGUCGGAUUAGCUAGUUGGUAGGGUAAAGGCCUACCAAGGCAACGAUCCGUAGCUGGUCUGAGAGGAUGAUCAGCCACACUGGGACUGAGACACGGCCCAGACUCCUACGGGAGGCAGCAGUGGGGAAUAUUGCACAAUGGGCGCAAGCCUGAUGCAGCCAUGCCGCGUGUGUGAA
rnacentral:rRNA from 1 species